rnacentral:rRNA from 1 species
CGUUCCUCGGACGUAGCAGUCGGGAAUAUUGCGCAAUGGAGGAAACUCUGACGCAGUGACGCCGCGUAUAGGAAGAAGGUUUUCGGAUUGUAAACUAUUGUCGUUAGGGAAGAAAAAAGACAGUACCUAAGGAGGAAGCUCCGGCUAACUACGUGCCAGCAGCCGCGGUAAUACGUAGGGAGCAAGCGUUAUCCGGAAUUAUUGGGUGUAAAGGGUGCGUAGACGGGAGUCUAAGUUAGUUGUGAAAUCCCUCGGCUCAACUGAGGAACUGCAACUAAAACUGGACAUCUUGAGUGCAGGAGAGG